UUCACUCCCAAACCCCUGUGAACAUACCUUAAUGUUGCCUCGGCGGAUCAGCCCGCGCCCCGUAAAACGGGACGGCCCGCCAGAGGACCCAAACUCUAAUGUUUCUUAUUGUAACUUCUGAGUAAAACAAACAAAUAAAUCAAAACUUUCAACAACGGAUCUCUUGGUUCUGGCAUCGAUGAAGAACGCAGCAAAAUGCGAUAAGUAAUGUGAAUUGCAGAAUUCAGUGAAUCAUCGAAUCUUUGAACGCACAUUGCGCCCGCUGGUAUUCCGGCGGGCAUGCCUGUUCGAGCGUCAUUUCAACCCUCAAGCCCCCGGGUUUGGUGUUGGGGAUCGGCUCUGCCCUUCUGGGCGGUGCCGCCCCCGAAAUACAUUGGCGGUCUCGCUGCAGCCUCCAUUGCGUAGUAGCUAACACCUCGCAACUGGAACGCGGCGCGGCCAUGCCGUAAAACCCCAACUUCUGAAUGUUGACCUCGGAUCAGGUAGGAAUACCCGCUGAACUUAAGCAUAUCAGUAAGCGGAGGAA
rnacentral:rRNA from 1 species